rfam:Gossypium arboreum cultivar AKA8401 contig_2371_7, whole genome shotgun sequence.
UGUUAAAAGUUUCAUCCACUUCUAUUGUUUAAAACUGUGUGGCUGAUUAAAAUAAACUAACAGUUACACGAGAUGUGUUAUAUAUACCUCAUGAUAACGUAUAGAAACCAUAUUUUAACAACAAAAAUAGACGAUAUUUUUAAUA